GAUGAACGCUGGCGGCGUGCCUAAUACAUGCAAGUCGAGCGAACAGACGAGGAUCUUGCUCCUCUGACGUUAGCGGCGGACGGGUGAGUAACACGUGGAUAACCUACCUAUAAGACUGGGAUAACUUCGGGAAACCGGAGCUAAUACCGGAUAAUAUAUUGAACCGCAUGGUUCAAUAGUGAAAGACGGUUUUGCUGUCACUUAUAGAUGGAUCCGCGCCGCAUUAGCUAGUUGGUAAGGUAACGGCUUACCAAGGCAACGAUGCGUAGCCGACCUGAGAGGGUGAUCGGCCACACUGGAACUGGGACACGGUCAAGACUCCUACGGGAGGCAGCAGUAGGGAAUCUUCCGCAAUGGGCGAAAGCCUGACGGAGCAACGCCGCGUGAGUGAUGAAGGUCUUCGGAUCGUAAAACUCUGUUAUUAGGGAAGAACAAAUGUGUAAGUAACUAUGCACGUCUUGACGGUACCUAAUCAGAAAGCCACGGCUAACUACGUG
rnacentral:rRNA from 1 species